rnacentral:rRNA from 1 species
GAUUAGAUACCCCACUAUGCCCGGCCCUAAAUCUUAAUGCCCCCAAACACAAGCAUUCGCCUGAGAACUACGAGCACAAACGCUUAAAACUCUAAGGACUUGGCGGUGCUCUAAACCCACCUAGAGGAGCCUGUUCUAUAAUCGAUAACCCACGAUCCACCCGACCACUCCUUGCCAAAACAGCCUAUAUACCGCCGUCGCCAGCCCACCUCAUGAGAGCACAGCAGUGAGCCCAACAGCCCACAGCCACUAAUAAGACAGGUCAAGGUAUAGCCUAUGAAGUGGAAGAAAUGGGCUACAUUUUCUAAAAUAGAAAACCCAACGAAAGGGGGCCUGAAACCUACCCCCAGAAGGCGGAUUUAGCAGUAAAGCAGGACAAUUGAGCCUUCUUUAAACCGGUCCUAGAGCACGUACAUACCGCCCGUCACCC